rnacentral:rRNA from 1 species
UACGUAGGGUGCAAGCGUUAAUCGGAAUUACUGGGCGUAAAGCGUGCGCAGGCGGUUUUGUAAGUCUGUCGUGAAAUCCCCGGGCUCAACCUGGGAAUUGCGAUGGAGACUGCAAGGCUAGAAUCUGGCAAAGGGGGGUAGAAUUCCACGUGUAGCAGUGAAAUGCGUAGAGAUGUGGAGGAACACCGAUGGCGAAGGCAGCCCCCUGGGUCAAGAUUGACGCUCAUGCACGAAAGCGUGGGGAGCAAACAGG